CCUACGGGAGGCAGCAGUGAGGAAUAUUGGUCAAUGGACGCAAGUCUGAACCAGCCAUGUCGCGUGCAGGAAGACGGCUCUAUGAGUUGUAAACUGCUUUUGUACGAGGGUAAACGCAGAUUCUCGUAUCUGUCUGCCACUAUCGUACGAAUAAGGAUCGGCGAACUCCGUGCCAGGAGCCGCGGUAUUACGGAGGAUUCAAGCGUUAUCCGGAUUUAUUACGUUUAAAGGGUGCGUAGGAGGUCGGAUAAGUUAGAGGUGAAAUCCCGAGGCGCAACUUAGGAAUUGCCUCUGAUACUGUUCGGCUAGAGAGUAGUUGCGGUAGGCGGAAUGUAUGGUGUAGCGGUGAAAUGCGUAGAGAUCAUAAAGAACACCGAUUGCGAAGGCAGAUUACCAAGCUACUUCUGACGUUGAGGCACGAAAGCGUGGGGAGCAAACAGGAUUAGAUACCCGAGUAGUC
rnacentral:rRNA from 1 species